rnacentral:rRNA from 1 species
GCUUGCUUCUCUGAUGUUAGCGGCGGACGGGUGAGUAACACGUGGAUAACCUACCUAUAAGACUGGGAUAACUUCGGGAAACCGGAGCUAAUACCGGAUAAUAUUUUGAACCGCAUGGUUCAAAAGUGAAAGACGGUCUUGCUGUCACUUAUAGAUGGAUCCGCGCUGCAUUAGCUAGUUGGUAAGGUAACGGCUUACCAAGGCAACGAUGCAUAGCCGACCUGAGAGGGUGAUCGGCCACACUGGAACUGAGACACGGUCCAGACUCCUACGGGAGGCAGCAGUAGGGAAUCUUCCGCAAUGGGCGAAAGCCUGACGGAGCAACGCCGCGUGAGUGAUGAAGGUCUUCGGAUCGUAAAACUCUGUUAUUAGGGAAGAACAUAUGUGUAAGUAACUGUGCACAUCUUGACGGUACCUAAUCAGAAAGCCACGGCUAACUACGUGCCAGCAGCCGCGGUAAUACGUAGGUGGCAAGCGUUAUCCGGAAUUAUUGGGCGUAAAGCGCGCGUAGGCGGUUUUUUAAGUCUGAUGUGAAAGCCCACGGCUCAACCGUGGAGGGUCAUUGGAAACUGGAAAACUUGAGUGCAGAAGAGGAAAGUGGAAUUCCAUGUGUAGCGGUGAAAUGCGCAGAGAUAUGGAGGAACACCAGUGGCGAAGGCGACUUUCUGGUCUGUAACUGACGCUGAUGUGCGAAAGCGUGGGGAUCAAACAGGAUUAGAUACCCUGGUAGUCCACGCCGUAAACGAUGAGUGCUAAGUGUUAGGGGGUUUCCGCCCCUUAGUGCUGCAGCUAACGCAUUAAGCACUCCGCCUGGGGAGUACGACCGCAAGGUUGAAACUCAAAGGAAUUGACGGGGACCCGCACAAGCGGUGGAGCAUGUGGUUUAAUUCGAAGCAACGCGAAGAACCUUACCAAAUCUUGACAUCCUUUGACAACUCUAGAGAUAGAGCCUUCCCCUUCGGGGGACAAAGUGACAGGUGGUGCAUGGUUGUCGUCAGCUCGUGUCGUGAGAUGUUGGGUUAAGUCCCGCAACGAGCGCAACCCUUAAGCUUAGUUGCCAUCAUUAAGUUGGGCACUCUAAGUUGACUGCCGGUGACAAACCGGAGGAAGGUGGGGAUGACGUCAAAUCAUCAUGCCCCUUAUGAUUUGGGCUACACACGUGCUACAAUGGACAAUACAAAGGGCAGCGAAACCGCGAGGUCAAGCAAAUCCCAUAAAGUUGUUCUCAGUUCGGAUUGUAGUCUGCAACUCGACUACAUGAAGCUGGAAUCGCUAGUAAU